UACGGAGGGUGCAAGCGUUGUCCGGAUUUAUUGGGUUUAAAGGGUGCGUAGGCGGCUUUGUAAGUCAGUAUUUAAAGACGGCAGCUUAACUGUCGAUAUGGUAUUGAUACUGCAAGGCUUGAGUGAAGACGAGGUAGGCGGAAUUGAUAAUGUAGCGGUGAAAUGCAUAGAUAUUAUCAGGAACUCCGAUUGCGAAGGCAGCUUACUAGGCUUUAACUGACGCUGAGGCACGAAAGUGUGGGGAGCAAACAGG
rnacentral:misc_RNA from 1 species